rnacentral:sRNA from 1 species
UCCGGGGGCAGGAGGUUCGACUCGAGCGAAGCGAGAGAACGUUGCGUCAGCAACGGCCCGCAGGGCGAGCCACGAAGUGGUGAGUCAUCCUCUAUCACCGACCA